rnacentral:rRNA from 1 species
CGCUGGCGGCGUGCCUAAUACAUGCAAGUCGAACGCACUCUCGUUUAGAUUGAAGGAGCUUGCUCCUGAUUGAUAAACAUUUGAGUGAGUGGCGGACGGGUGAGUAACACGUGGGUAACCUGCCCUAAAGUGGGGGAUAACAUUUGGAAACAGAUGCUAAUACCGCAUAAAACCUAACACCGCAUGGUGUAGGGUUGAAAGAUGGUUUCGGCUAUCACUUUAGGAUGGACCCGCGGUGCAUUAGUUAGUUGGUGAGGUAAAGGCUCACCAAGACCGUGAUGCAUAGCCGACCUGAGAGGGUAAUCGGCCACACUGGGACUGAGACACGGCCCAGACUCCUACGGGAGGCAGCAGUAGGGAAUCUUCCACAAUGGACGAAAGUCUGAUGGAGCAACGCCGCGUGAGUGAAGAAGGUUUCGGAUCGUAAAACUCUGUUGUUGGAGAAGAAUGUAUCUGAUAGUAACUGAUCAGGUAGUGACGGUAUCCAACCAGAAAGCCACGGCUAACUACGUG